rnacentral:lncRNA from 1 species
AACACACACAAGAUGCAAAUCCCCAGCAGGCGGAAGAAAGGAGUCCGUCCCCGGCGGCGGCCGCCGACACACAAGAUGCAGAUCGAGGUCAGCCUUUCUCCUCCCCCUAUUUCUUCUCUUCUCUGGCGAGAAAGCCCAGAUCGAUUGAUUUGUUUCCUGACCCUCAGCCGUCCCUAAUCUUUACCUGUGGCGGAUGAGUGGACUCCGAUAGACGGCGGAUGCUGCCGAGGAGAAGCCCCACCGGUUCCACCCCAUUCCAUCUCGUCCUGCUACAGCUACAUGGGAAUGCGAUGUGCUCAUGUUCUGAACCCUCCUGUCAGUUGCCUGGUUUGGUAAAGCUGUGGAUUGAUUCCUUGGGCGAUUAUAACAAUAAUGGAAGUAUGGAAUAUGUGUAUCAACACAUUUUUCAACCUGUAGUGAUGUAGCUUGAUUUCCUGUAAAACCUUAGCUAUUUGGACAAAAAAGGAACAUAUUGCAGGACCAAAUUCAGCAUUUUGCACCACUUACUUGCCUUGUUAGUCCAUUUGAUACCGACGCACACUCAAAUCAGACGGACACACUUGAAGAUUUACAACAACAAGCAAAAAACAGAGUAUGCUACAGCCCAGACUUUUUUUUUUUGCUCAUUCUAAUCUCAGCACAUGAAUGGAAGCUUCAGAUAAGGAAUGCACCAAGGGCAUCAGUAACAGAAAGGACCUGCACACGGAGGUGUCUCCUUUGGAAAUGCCUUGAGAGAUCACUUGGCCAUCAUUCCCAAGUAAGAAGAUGGACUUAUGUUAUUUCCAUUGCUAGCUGCUGCACGUAGUGUCAUCACCGCCACCUGCAGAAAUCAACAGACAAGAAGUCUCUUUUAGCAAACACAAACAUCUAUAUAUGGAUAAAUACUUGUGACCAGCUAGAGUUGUACACUUCACAUGGACUGACAAUGUAAAUUAAGUACAAGCGUGCUCCACAAUGGCUAAUCAGGCGAAAAUGCUCAGAAAUCAAUAAGGACGCAAG